GUCGAGUGUCUUCAUCUCAUCACCUGACCAUCACUCGAUCACAUCACUCGACCCCGAGGUCGAGUGUCUUCACCUUCAUCGCCAGACCACUACUCGAUCUCGCUACUCUAGCUUGAAGUCAAGUAUCUCCAUCACAACCACUCGACUACAAACUCGAUGGCAAGCUUCAGAGUCUUCUUCAUCCCGCACUCAACCAGACACUCGAGCACAAGGAAGAAAAGAAGACUCCAGCUAUUCACUCGACCUCCCACUCGACCACUUAGGUCGAGUACAGUUAUUAAUCCGUCCUAAUACUUCGUCGUUUUGAGUAUUAGGAUUUCAGAAUAUUUGGCUAUAAGUAGCAUGUACUUCACAUUUUCGCAAACAAGUUUUUAUCUAGUUUUAUUCCGCAGACACUGUGUUCUAGACCUUUUGUAAUCCGGAUUUCUCUUUAUCUAUUCAGUAUUCAGUAUUUAGCAUUUGUUCUUGAUUUCGUUUACUGUUGUUCAUUCUGUUAUCAUCCUGCUGUUACACUGUUGUUAUCAUGUUUUCAACUUGUUCAACGUUUAUGGUUUCUGUUAUGAUGUCUGAGUAGUGAAUAGGUUUCUGAGGAUGGGUUAGAGUAGUGUAGAAUUCUCGGUAUGCUAGGUGAUUGAGUAUUGAUUGAUAGAUCCCUUCUGGAUUAGUUGUUCUUAAUGCCUAUUGCUUUCUAAUCAACUGGAAUUUGAGCUGAGACAUUUCCGCGCCCAAAAGGUGUUCGAUGAAAUGUCUCAACCACUAAUUCCAGAGAUUCGUGACCCUGUACCAAGGUAUUGAUUGCAGGGAGCAUUUUGGCUUUAACUUGUUGAUUCGUAAUGCCUGUUAGGUUAGCUCUCGUCAAUGGUGAUUGAGUCUGGGACUAGGUUAACUUGAGGGUCUCUGUUGCGGUGGCACUUAGAUUUGGUUAAUGAACUUGUUAUCUAGGGUCAAUUUAUUGAGCAUGUCAAUCACCUGUAAACUGAGGAAACGAAACUACUCAAUUACCCCAUCCUCGGGAAUUCUUUAUCUGAUUGAAUUCUUUGUUUACUCUACUGUUGUUUACUGCAUCUUGUUAUCUGUCGCUUAAUUUCUGAAGUUCUUUCUUGUUACUCGACCUCAUACUCGACCACCCAGUUGUCUGGCAACAGACUGUGCAGUCGAGUAUCUGUGUUUUAUUUUCUGUCUUUUACUCAACCUCACUCAGUGCUCUGCAAGGAGCUGUGUUGGUCGAGUGUUUUAUUGUUUCUGCUUGAAUUUCUAUUUUCUGCAUGUUCACUUAGGACUGCUAGAACACACCAAAACCUGUUAUUGCUUGGCUUGACUUAGUGACUUCUGAUCACAUCUUGAUUGUUAGCAUCACACCCAUUUGGAUUGACAACUUUCAGUACUACAACGACAUGAUAGUGCUUUAGGUUUAAUUGACUAAAAAACCGAUUAUCAAUUUGGCGUCGUUGCCAAUUGGGUGUUUGUUUGUUACAUUUGAGAUUUCAGACUUGCUUAGAUCAAGUUCUUUUUCAAUUUUCAAAUCGGUUGCUAACUGUGUGUUUUUUUUGUUGUCUUCUUGAUCCAGCUACACCUCUGCUGUAUGCGAACUCAAUCAACAGGCAAUCAGAACCUCCUUUUCAACGACAAUAUCGACCGCAUAGCUCGCGAACUGAGAGAAAGGAGAAACACAGUCAACCUUGUACCUCAGCAACCACUCGAAAUGGCUGACGAACAGAAUCUACAAAAUGGCCCUGCAAACAUUGGUGCUGGAGAUGCACCACGUGAUCACCGUCAAAGGAAAGGAAUUGCACCUCCUGCUAUCCAAAACAACAACUUCGAGAUUAAGAGUGGUCUCAUCUCGAUGAUUCAGGGGAACAAAUUCCAUGGUCUACCAAUGGAGGAUCCACUCGAUCACCUUGAUGAAUUCGAGAGGCUCUGCAACCUAACAAAGAUUAAUGGUGUCAGUGAAGACGCAUUCAAGCUCCGUUUGUUUCCAUUCUCCUUGGGCGACUAAGCACACAUCUGGGAGAAGAAUUUGAACUACCUGGGAUGAUUGUAAGAAGGCUUUUCUAUCAAAGUUCUUGUCCUAUGCCAGAACUGCAAGACUAAGAAAUGAGAUUUCUGGUUUCUCACAAAAGACUGGUGAAAGCUUCUAUGAAGCAUGGGAGCGUUUCAAGGGUUACACCAACCAAUGCCCUCAUCAUGGCUUUACUAAAGCCUCUCUGCUCAGCACUCUUUACAGAGGAGUCCUACCACGCAUAAGAAUGCUUCUGGAUACCGCCAGCAAUGGAAAUUUCCAGAACAAAGAUGUUGAAGAAGGCUGGGAUUGGUUGAGAACCUUGCUCAAUCAGAUGGUAAUUACAACGAGGACUGCGAUAGGACCGUCGGAGGCACAUCUGACUCUGAUGACAAACACAGGAAGGAGAUCAAAGCGCUGAAUGACAAGCUGGACAGGAUUCUUCUUAGCCGGAAAAGCAUGUGCACUUCCUUGUUGAUGACGAGCAGUUUCAAGUCCAAGAUGGGGAGGGUAACCAGUUGGAAGAAGUCAGCUACAUCAACAACAACCAGUGUGGCUACAAAGGAUACAACAACUUCAAAACCAACAACCCCAACCUCUCCUACCGCACCACCAACGUCGCUAAUCCUCAGGAUCAGGUGUAUCCACCAUAGCAACAACAAGGUCAGAACAAACCUUUUGUUCCCUAUAACCAAGGUUUCGUUCCAAAGCAGCAAUUCCAGGGGAACUACCAGCCGCUAC
rnacentral:sRNA from 1 species